UACAGGGGGGGCAAGCGUUGUUCGGAAUUACUGGGCGUAAAGGGUGCGUAGGCGGGUCUUUAAGUCAGAGGUGAAAGCCUGGAGCUCAACUCCAGAACUGCCUUUGAUACUGGAGAUCUUGAGUUCGGGAGAGGUGAGUGGAACUGCGAGUGUAGAGGUGAAAUUCGUAGAUAUUCGCAAGAACACCAGUGGCGAAGGCGGCUCACUGGCCCGAUACUGACGCUGAGGCACGAAAGCGUGGGGAGCAAACAGG
rnacentral:rRNA from 1 species